rnacentral:tRNA from 1 species
GCGGCGGUGAUGAAACGGUAGACAUGGCGCCCUCAAAAGGCGCUGUCCCCAGGGACGUGUGGGUUCGAAUCCCACCCGCCGCA